AUGUAUUUGAAACAUUUAAUAAGCAUGCAUUAUUACAAUACCAUUUAAAGUGUAUUAUGGAUGCAGACAACUUUAUAUACAAUUUAUUUGUUUGAGAUCGAUUAUUUAGAAAACAAGUAUGUACAUGACGGUAGGUAUUCCGACUUACGGUUACACCGUUAUACGUUACAGUACACAGACAGGUAACGUAUGAUACUGUAUACUAUAUACUGUACUCAUCUAUGAUCAUUCCGAUAGCAAUGGCAAGUCGAUUUGCUACUCAUUGUAGGCUACAGGUUGACGUCGAGAGAUGGUGAUUGCUUGAUGGUAUUAACCACGAUUCCCCGUUUUCUUUUUGAUAGGUUGGACUGCCUUCGGUCAAGAGUACUUCUUCUUUUCCUUGAAUGCUCGGUAGUAUUGCUCACUGUUGCUCCCAACUUCCUUCUUGAUAAAUUGGCUGGACUGACUCCGUUCGUAAUCUUGGAACCGCAAUUUUUCCGUGAUCACUCAACAGUAUUAGUAGCAUCAUUUGAUGCUAAUCAGAGAUUACCAUAGCCACAAUAUAUUAGAUACUUUUCUACUGAUCUACCACCCAGUCGCUGGUGUGAUUAUCA